rnacentral:lncRNA from 1 species
CUCCCAGACCACUUUUCAGAUCAGAAAACCCUUCUGAAUGGGUAUAUUGUAAUGCAUCUUUCUAUAAACAAUGUGAAAACUGUUUAAACCGAACUUAUCCUUUAAAAGCCAAAGAUUCAUUGCUCGUGUUUCCUAUUUUUGUUUGUGCAGAAUUUCACAGUCCAGACACUGGAAGCCAAGCGACCACACCCACCAGGAGUUUGUCGCCGGCUGUCUCUAAUAAGCCUGCAGAUGUCAGUCCUCCAAAAAGGGACAGUCCAGCAAUCAUGGCCAAGCACUACAAGACCCUCCAGGCUUUGUAUAAGAAAAAGAAACCAAACCACGAGUCUGUCUCUCAGCUCCUGGACUUGGAAUUUCCAGCCAGACGAGCAUUCAUUGAUUCUGAUGCAAUUAGUGAGGAGAACAGACCUGGACAAAUUCUGGAGGCAUAUCCUUGUUUUAAGGAAAUUGGACAUGUAAGUUGUAUUAGCAAGGCAUAAAUAACAUAGAAAUACCAAGCAGAACUAUAUUUUAUAUUGCAAUUUCAGUGGACUAAUAUAUAUUUCUGGCUGGUAUAUUCAAUGUUUCAUAGGUGAUGGAAGAGCUUCGGCGCAUCUUGGACAAGGACAACACCCAAUACAUCAACCAGGUGAAGGAAAGAUGGCACGACUUCUCCCAGAACGUGCAGUUUUUUGGGAUGUGGAAAAAGCUGCUGAAAUCCCCAAUGGGAAUGGAGAAAACUGAACAGGCUGUUGGAAUCCUUCGUUUGCUGCCAUUGUUGUUCCCCUCUGGAUCUGCUCCGGUUAAGAAACGUGGAGAUCCAAGUGAAGCUCUUGUGCAUGUUCUUGAGGACAAUGAAGACCCCGGCACCUACUUGACGAAGCGCCCUCUCUCCUGUCCAGUGCUGAUUGUGAGUCCAUGCAACUGCCUCCUGGCCGUGGGAGAUGUGCCAGUGACGACGUUCCCAAAAGAGCAGGUCACCGAGGGUGCUUUACACCUCAUGGCCUACUAUUAUGCUCUACACCUCACUUACCCCAAGUGCAUAGCCACACUGCUUUCCAUCAUACAAACGGAGGUCCUUCAUGACGCCAUCCAUGAGAAAGACCUCACACCAGGUUACAAAAAGAGCCUGGCUGAAUGGAAAGAUUUUAUUGGCAAAUAGAGCAGAGCACCACUGUGAUGGCUAGUUAUUUGUGUUUGUAAAUAACGAGCCACAUGUUCAGACCCUGUUUUUGUUUUUCCCAUUGAUCAGACAAAUCACAAUGUUAUUUCAUUCUCUGUUGUGCUGGGGGUUUUUCGUUGUUUUUUUAUUACUGUGCAAAAAAAGCAAAUUUUCAGUUUGAUGUUCUAUUCAAGUUAUUAAUAAAGUGUUGUUCUAAAUGUGUUUUACAUGGUGUUUAUAUGGUAUAGUUAUCUGAAUGGGG